GGAAGCGUGGCAGAGUGGUUGAAUGCACCGGUCUUGAAAACCGGCAGGGGUUUAGGCCCCUCGUGAGUUCGAAUCUCACCGCUUCCGCCA
rnacentral:tRNA from 1 species